rnacentral:tRNA from 1 species
GGGGUCGUGGCUCAGAGGUAAAGCACACGCCUAGCAUGUGCCAGGCACUGGGUUCGAUUUCCAGCACCACG